GUUUACGGCCAUACCACCCUGAAUGCAACUGAUCUUAUCUGAUCUGGGAAGCUAAGCAGGGUCCGGCCUGGUUGGUAGUUGGAUGGGAGAGAGUGUCUUUAGAAAGUUGGUGAGAAAACU
ensembl:rRNA 5S_rRNA 5S ribosomal RNA